rnacentral:rRNA from 1 species
CGACCGGCGCACGGGUGAGUAACACGUAUCCAACCUGCCGAUGACUCGGGGAUAGCCUCUCGAAAGAAAGAUUAAUACCCGAUGGCAUAGUUCUUCCGCAUGGUAGAACUAUUAAAGAAUUUCGGUCAUCGAUGGGGAUGCGUUCCAUUAGCUUGUUGGCGGGGUAACGGCCCACCAAGGCAUCGAUGGAUAGGGGUUCUGAGAGGAAGGUCCCCCACACUGGUACUGAGACACGGACCAGACUCCUACGGGAGGCAGCAG